rnacentral:rRNA from 1 species
UCUAACGUGGACCCGUUACCCGGGUUGCGGACAGUGUCUGGUGGGUAGUUUGACUGGGGCGGUCUCCUCCUAAAGAGUAACGGAGGAGCACGAAGGUUGGCUAAUCCUGGUCGGACAUCAGGAGGUUAGUGCAAUGGCAUAAGCCAGCUUGACUGCGAGCGUGACGGCGCGAGCAGGUGCGAAAGCAGGUCAUAGUGAUCCGGUGGUUCUGAAUGGAAGGGCCAUCGCUCAACGGAUAAAAGGUACUCCGGGGAUAACAGGCUGAUACCGCCCAAGAGUUCAUAUCGACGGCGGUGUUUGGCACCUCGAUGUCGGCUCAUCACAUCCUGGGGCUGAAGUAGGUCCCAAGGGUAUGGCUGUUCGCCAUUUAAAGUGGUACGCGAGCUGGGUUUAGAACGUCGUGAGACAGUUCGGUCCCUAUCUGCCGUGGGCGCUGGAGAACUGAGGGGGGCUGCUCCUAGUACGAGAGGACCGGAGUGGACGCAUCACUGGUGUUCGGGUUGUCAUGCCAAUGGCACUGCCCGGUAGCUAAAUGCGGAAGAGAUAAGUGCUGAAAGCAUCUAAGCACGAAACUUGCCCCGAGAUGAGUUCUCCCUGAGACUUAGAGUCUCCUGAAGGAACGUUGAAGACGACGACGUUGAUAGGCCGGGUGUGUAAGCGCAGCGAUGCGUUGAGCUAACC